GAUAAAGAACGUAGCGAAAUGCGAUAAGUAAUGUGAAUUGCAGAAUUCAGUGAAUCAUCGAAUCUUUGAACGCACAUUGCGCCCGCCAGUAUUCUGGCGGGCAUGCCUGUUCGAGCGUCAUUUCAACCAUCAAGCCCCAGGCUUGUGUUGGGGACCUGCGGCUGCCGCAGGCCCUGAAAACCAGUGGCGGGCUCGCUGUCACACCGGGCGUAGUAGAUUUUAUCUCGCUCAGGGCGUGCUGCGGGUUCCGGCCGUUAAAAAGCCUUUUUUACCCAAGGUUGACCUCGGAUCAGGUAGGAAGACCCGCUGAACUUAAGCAUAUCAAUAAGCGGAGGA
rnacentral:misc_RNA from 1 species